rnacentral:miRNA from 1 species
UGUUUGUGUGUGUGUGUGUGUGUGUGUGUGUGUACGCAUAUGUACACACACACACACACACACAGUAAAAAAAAA